GCGCCCUUCGUCUAGCGGUUAGGACGCCGCCCUUUCACGGCGGUAACAGGGGUUCGAUUCCCCUAGGGCGUACCA
rnacentral:tRNA from 2 species